rnacentral:rRNA from 1 species
GAUGAACGCUGACAGAAUGCUUAACACAUGCAAGUCUUUGGUGAAGCUGUGCUUGCACCGCCUAGCCAAGGCGGACGGGUGGGUAACGCGUAAGGAACUUGCCCUGCAGUCAGGGAUAACAGACGGAAACGACUGAUAAGACCUGGUAAAGUCAGGCGGACUCAUGUCCAGCCUGAUGAAAAGAGAUGCUGCAGGAGAGCCUUGCGUCCUAUUAGCUUGUUGGUGGGGUAACGGCCCACCAAGGCAAUGAUAGGUAGCCGGCCUGAGAGGGUGGACGGCCACAAGGGGACUGAGAUACAGCACUUACUCCUACGGGAGGCAGCAGUGGGGAAUAUUGGACAAUGGGGGCAACCCUGAUCCAGCAAUUCUGUGUGCACGAUGAAGGUUUUCGGAUGGUAAAGUGCUUUCAGCAGGGAAGAAAAAAAUGACGGUACCUGCAGAAGAAGCGACGGCUAAAUACGUG